GAGGAAGUAAAAGUCGUAACAAGGUUUCCGUAGGUGAACCUGCGGAAGGAUCAUUAACGAGUUCUUGAACAGGUUGUCGCUGGCCCUUUACAGGGUAUGUGCACACCUGGCUCAAUUUCCACUCUUAACCUCUGUGCACUCUUUGUAGGUCGGUUGAUGCUGGCGCAAGUCAGUUUGAAGCCUUCCUAUGUUUUAUUACAAACGCUUCAGUUAUAGAAUGUUUACUUUGCUAUAACGCAAAUAUAUACAACUUUCAGCAACGGAUCUCUUGGCUCUCGCAUCGAUGAAGAACGCAGCGAAAUGCGAUAAGUAAUGUGAAUUGCAGAAUUCAGUGAAUCAUCGAAUCUUUGAACGCACCUUGCGCCCCUUGGUAUUCCGAGGGGCAUGCCUGUUUGAGUGUCAUGGAAUUCUCAUCCCCUAAAGUUAUUUUUGGUGGGCUUGGAUGUGGAGGUUGUGCCGGUUUGUUAAAAGCCGGCUCCUCUGAAAUGCAUUAGUGUGAAUCUUACUGAUCGCCUUCAGUGUGAUAAUUGUCUACGCUGUGGUUGUGAAGUAAAUUAAUGUUCRUGCUUCUAAUCGUCUCUUUUUGAGACAAUUACUUUGACAUCUGACCUCAAAUCAGGUAGGACUACCCGCUGAACUUAAGCAUAUC
rnacentral:rRNA from 1 species